GGAAAAGAAACCAACAGGGAUUGCCCCAGUAACGGCGAGUGAAGCGGCACUAAUUUGAAAUCUGGCCCCAGGCCCGAGUUGUAAUUUGCAGAGGAUGCUUUUGGCGCGGUGCCUUCCGAGUUCCCUGGAACGGGACGCCAUAGAGGGUGAGAGCCCCGUACGGUUGGACACCAAGCCUUUGUAAAGCUCCUUCGACGAGUCGAGUAGUUUGGGAAUGCUGCUCUAAAUGGGAGGUACAUUUCUUCUAAAGCUAAAUAUUGGCCAGAGACCGAUAGCGCACAAGUAGAGUGAUCGAAAGAUGAAAAGCACUUUGAAAAGAGGGUUAAACAGCACGUGAAAUUGUUAAAAGGGAAGCGCUUGUGACCAGACUUGCGUCCGGUGAAUCACCCAGCUCUCGCGGCUGGGGCACUUCGCCGGCACAGGCCAGCAUCAGCUUGCCGUCGGGGACAAAAGCUUCAGGAACGUGGCUCCUCUCGGGGAGUGUUAUAGCCUGUUGCACAAUACCCUUCGGCGGGCUGACGCGCUCCGCAAGGAUGCUGGCGUAAUGGUCAUCAGCGACCC
rnacentral:rRNA from 1 species